GCCCCUGUAGCUCAGUGGAUAGAGCGCCACCCUCCGGAGGUGGAUGCCCGUGUUCGAGUCACGGCAGGGGCA
rnacentral:tRNA from 1 species